UACGAAGGGGGGCUAGCGUUGUUCGGAAUUACUGGGCGUAAAGCGUGCGCAGGCGGUGAUGUAAGACAGAUGUGAAAUCCCCGGGCUCAACCUGGGAACUGCAUUUGUGACUGCAUCGCUGGAGUGCGGCAGAGGGGGAUGGAAUUCCGCGUGUAGCAGUGAAAUGCGUAGAUAUGCGGAGGAACACCGAUGGCGAAGGCAAUCCCCGUGGGCCUGCACUGACGCUCAUGCACGAAAGCGUGGGGAGCAAACAGG
rnacentral:rRNA from 1 species